UACGUAGGGUGCAAGCGUUAAUCGGAAUUACUGGGCGUAAAGCGCGCGUAGGCGGCCUUGUAAGUCCGUUGUGAAAGUCAAAGGCUCAACCUUUGAAAGCCGAUGGAUACUGCAGGGCUAGAGUCCGGAAGAGGCGAGUGGAAUUCCUGGUGUAGCGGUGGAAUGCGCAGAUAUCAGGAGGAACACCAAUAGCGAAGGCAGCUCGCUGGGACGGUACUGACGCUAAGGCGCGAAAGCGUGGGGAGCGAACAGG
rnacentral:rRNA from 1 species